rnacentral:rRNA from 1 species
CACGUAGGGGGCGAGCGUUGUCCGGAAUUACUGGGCGUAAAGGGCGCGCAGGCUGUUAUGCGAGUCUGCUGUGAAAUGUACCGGCUCAACCGGUGCCUUGCGGCGGAUACUGCAUAGCUGGAGUACUGGAGAGGGAAGUGGAAUUCCCGGUGUAGCGGUGAAAUGCGUAGAUAUCAUGAGGAACUCCGAUUGCGCAGGCAGCUUACUAAACUACUACUGACGCUCAUGCACGAAGGCGUGGGGAUCAAACA